UGCCAGACUCCUACGGGAGGCAGCAGUGGGGGAUAUUGCACAAUGGGGGAAACCCUGAUGCAGCGACGCCGCGUGAGUGAAGAAGUAUCUCGGUACGUAAAGCUCUAUCAGCAGGGAAGAAAAUGACGGUACCUGACCAAGAAGCCCCGGCUAACUACGUGCCAGCAGCCGCGGUAAUACGUAGGGGGCAAGCGUUAUCCGGAUUUACUGGGUGUAAAGGGAGCGUAGACGGCAGCGCAAGUCUGGAGUGAAAUGCCGGGGCCCAACCCCGGAACUGCUUUGGAAACUGUGCAGCUCGAGUGCAGGAGAGGUAAGCGGAAUUCCUAGUGUAGCGGUGGAAUGCGCAGAUAUCGGGAAGAACACCGAUGGCGAAGGCAGCUCUCUGGGCCGUCACUGACGCUGAGGCGCGAAAGCUGGGGGAGCGAACAGGAUUAGAUACCCCUGUAC
rnacentral:rRNA from 1 species